UAUUUUUUUACAUAUAUUAUUUAAGUUAUUUUAGAGCAUAAAGUUAAACUAAAUGAAAAUAAAAAUGUUGGCAACUAUCUAAAAAUUGUCACAGUUAUGGACUUUUGGAUGUUUCUCUGUUCCUGUUCUCCUGCCUUGUUUAGUUUCAUUGCCCUAGUUUCUGAUCAGUCCUGAUUUUCUAUGGUUAUUUGUGAUUUGCAGCUGUCACUCAUUCAUCAGUCUCCUUAUUUAUACACUCUGUUCUGUUCAGUCUUUGCUGGUUAUUUUGCUUUACCAUUGUGUGUGCUACAUUUGGGCCUGCGAUUCUCCUGUGUGUAUUCCUUGUGGAUUUAUAAUUAAAAGACUAUUUCUGGAUAAUACUCCUUCAUUGUGUGCUUUAAAUAGCACGACACAUUACAGAAUAACUGGCCACAAAGUGAGUAUUGGCUGCGGGUUUCCUUUUGUUUUGUCCUUUUUUGUUUUUUAAUGUUUUCUGCUGUCAAGCUCCUCUGUCUGAGGCAAGAGGAUCGCUCCCUCGAGGACCACACGAUGGACUUUUUAGAUCUUGCUUACCUAACACAUUACCCAGACAGCUGCCUGUACUCCUUUUAUUUUAUCAGAGUGAACACCUCGAUAAAGGCUAAGCUGCCCGGGGAAAGUCCUUGAGUGAGUUUUGCCACAUUUGUGGAGUGGGUGCUGGAGACUAUAUGUCCCGCUGAGGCGGACAUCUCCAACCCCACUCCAGACCCAGAGCCCAGCCAGCCAUCACCACUCAGCUGCAUGAAACAUCUGCCUGAGCCCGCCACAGAGGGAGAGCUCGAGCCUAUCGCGACUGAAGAGCCAGCGUGAGGAGAAGCAAUUGUGCCUGCCAUCGCCCCAGAGACAGUUGUCGAUGAGUCUGACCAGAACCAACCAGUUCCACAGCCAUGCCUCCACUGGUUCCUGUCAGUCCCUUAGUUCACCCUCAGUCAGCACCAUCUGGGCACUGUGUUUCGCCUCUGGCCUUCCAGUCUCAAGCUCUGCAUAGGCAUGAGGAUACCCUGUCUCCGCCUCCAGCCUUCGAGUCCUGGACUCCACCUCGGUCCUCCAACACAUCAGCUCUGCCUUGGCUCCUUGCUCCCUCGUCUCCACUGUGGUCUGUCAUCCCACUGGGCUCCCUUGUCCCUCCUGCUACACCUUGGUCAGUCGUCAACCUUCCUCCGCUACGGGAUUUCACUCCUCCGGCUUUGCCUCGUCCCUCCAUCCCUCCCACUCCACCGUUGUCCCUUAGUCGCUCUGGCUCCACCGCAGUCUUCCAGGUCCCCAUCUCCACCUCGCUCGCAUGAGCCGUCAGCUCUGCCUUGGCCCUUCGGACCUCGGGUGUCACCCUGGCUCUCCGUCUGCUUGACUCCACCUCCAGUGGCUCCAUCUCUUUCGCUUGUCCACAGGGUGUCGUCUGCCAAGUUUUCACCAUGGCUCCUCCCUCCCUCGACUCCACCCUGGGGCCUCAGCCUGGCUGGUCUCUGGACUAACACCUGGCUCCUCCUGUUCCUGGCCCUUCAAUGGCUCCUCCCACCAUCAGCUCCAUCCUGGUCUCUCGAACCACCUCCUCCCCUGGUUUCCUGUCCUGCAUGUCCUCCACAUCCUCCUCCAGAUCCCCCUCCCUCCCACCUCAUGCCUUCCGGGAAGGGGAGCUACUGUCACAGUUAUGGACUUUUGGUUGUGUUUCUCUCUGUUCCUGUUUUCCUGACUUGUUUAUUCCUGUUGCCCUAGUUUCUGAUCAGUCCUGAUUUGUUUCUACGUUAAUUAUGAUUUGCAGCUGUCACUCAUUCAUUAGUCUCCUUAUUUAUAAUCCCUGUUCUGUUCAGUCAUUGCUGGUUACUUUGCUUUACCAUUGUGUGUGCUAUGUUUGCUCCUGUAAUUCUCCUGUGUUUAUUCCUUGUGGAUUAAAGGAAUACUCCACCCCAAAA